GACGAACGCUGGCGGCGUGCUUAACACAUGCAAGUCGAACGGAAAGGCCCUGCUUUUGUGGGGUGCUCGAGUGGCGAACGGGUGAGUAACACGUGAGUAACCUGCCCUUGACUUUGGGAUAACUUCAGGAAACUGGGGCUAAUACCGGAUAGGAGCUCCUGCUGCAGGGUGGGGGUUGGAAAGUUUCGGCGGUUGGGGAUGGACUCGCGGCUUAUCAGCUUGUUGGUGGGGUAGUGGCUUACCAAGGCUUUGAAGGGUAGCCGGCAUGGGAGGGUGACCGGCCACAUUGGGACUGAGAUAGGGCCCAGACUCCUACGGUAGGCAGCAGUGGGGAAUAUUGCACAAUGGGCGGAAGCCUGAUGCAGCAACGCCGCGUGCGGGAUGACGGCCUUCGGGUUGUAAACCGCUUUCGCCUGUGACGAAGCGUGAGUGACGGUAAUGGGUAAAGAAGCACCGGCUAACUACGUG
rnacentral:rRNA from 1 species